rnacentral:rRNA from 1 species
CCUACGGGUGGCAGCAGUGAGGAAUAUUGGUCAAUGGCCGGAAGGCUGAACCAGCCAAGUAGCGUGAGGGAAGACUGCCCUAUGGGUUGUAAACCUCUUUUAUGCGGGGAUAAAGGUGUCCACGUGUGGAUGUUUGCAGGUACUGUAUGAAUAAGGACCGGCUAAUUCCGUGCCAGCAGCCGCGGUAAUACGGAGGGUCCAGGCGUUAUCCGGAUUUAUUGGGUUUAAAGGGAGCGUAGGCGGGUUGUUAAGCGUGCGGUGAAAUGUUGUGGCUCAACCAUGAAAGUGCGACGCGUACUGGUGACCUUGAGUGGAGGUGAGGCAGGCGGAAUGCGUGGUGUAGCGGUGAAAUGCUUAGAUAUCACGCAGAACCCCGAUUGCGAAGGCAGCCUACCA